UACGAAGGUCCCAAGCGUUAUCCGGAUUUAUUGGGUUUAAAGGGUGCGUAGGCGGAUUUUUAAGUCAGUGGUGAAAGCCUUCAGCUUAACUGAAGAACUGCCAUUGAUACUGAUGAUCUUGAGUAUGAUUGAGGUGGGCGGAAUGUGUCAUGUAGCGGUGAAAUGCUUAGAUAUGACACAGAACACCGAUUGCGAAGGCAGCUCACUAAGUCAUAACUGACGCUGAUGCACGAAAGCGUGGGGAGCAAACAGG
rnacentral:rRNA from 1 species